rnacentral:rRNA from 1 species
GCUAGUAAUGGCAGGUCAGCAUACUGCCGUGAAUACGUUCCCGGGCCUUGUACACACCGCCCGUCACACCAUGAGAGUUGGGAAUACCCGAAGCCUGUGAGCCAACAUAUAAUGAGGCAGCAGUCGAAGGUAGAAUCAAUGAUUGGGGUGAAGUCGUAACAAGGUAGC